rnacentral:rRNA from 1 species
GUAGGAAACUUUUGCAAUGCGCGUAAGCGUGACAAAGCAAGCCAGAGUGAUUUUCUAUAAUUGAAAAUCUUUUGCGGGAUGCAAAAAGUCCCGCGAAUAAGGACUGGGCAAGACUGGUGCCAGCCGCCGCGGUAAUCCCAGCAGUCCAAGUCGCAGCCACAUUUGUUGGGUCUAAAACAUCCGUAGCUUGCCUUGUAAGUCUCUUGUGAAAUCGGGCCUCUUAAGGGUCCGGCGAGCAAGAGAUACUGCUUGGCUAGAGACCGGGAGACGUAAGGAGUACGUUCGGAGUAGCGGUAAAAUGCGUUGAUCCUGAAUGGACUAACAAUAGCGAAGGCACCUUACGAUAACGGUUCUGACAGUGAGGGAUGAAGGCUAGGGGCGCAAAGUGG